CCUACGGGAGGCAGCAGUAGGGGAAUCUUGCGCAAUGGGCGAAAGCCUGACGCAGCCAUGCCGCGUGAAUGAUGAAGGUCUUAGGAUUGUAAAAUUCUUUUCACCGGGGAAGAUAAUGACGGUACCCGGAGAAGAAGCCCCGGCUAACUUCGUGCCAGCAGCCGCGGUAAUACGAAGGGGGCUAGCGUUGCUCGGAAUUACUGGGCGUAAAGGGCGCGUAGGCGGAUAGUUUAGUCAGAGGUGAAAGCCCAGGGCUCAACCUUGGAACUGCCUUUGAUACUGGCUAUCUUGAGUUCGGGAGAGGUGAGUGGAAUGCCGAGUGUAGAGGUGAAAUUCGUAGAUAUUCGGCGGAACACCAGUGGCGAAGGCGACUCACUGGCCCGAUACUGACGCUGAGGCGCGAAAGCGUGGGGAGCAAACAGGAUUAGAUACCCUGGUAGUCCACGCUGUAAACGAUGAGUGCUAGUUGUCGGCGAUGCAUGCAUGUCGGUGGACGCGAGCUACG
rnacentral:rRNA from 1 species